UAGGCAGGCACUGCAGCAACUGCUACAGUAAUCCCAUCAGGUUCUGAGUGGGCUCUAACGUUCUUAGUUGCUGUUUGGUGCUUCAGUUUUAGCUGAAAGCUACGUGGAGAUUAACGUUUUGUCCUAGACAAGUGUAGGUGGAUUGAAAACAUUGCUGCAAUAAUCUUCUCAUAGGACAGGAGUAGCGUGUUAAACUAAAAUGAAGAGGCUAUUAUUGAUUGGUGAUUAUGCAUUAUACAACUGAUCUUGUAAACAAAACUAUCUAUACAGUACAAUGAUGCAGUUUUAUUUUGAACUCCGUUAAUGCCUUAACCACAUUGAGUAAUCCUGUCCUUUCCUGGAUCUUAGUCUUCCAGGACUUUAAACUAACUCAAUAAGACAGUUGUAGCUUUACAGUAGAUCAGUCAUUGCUCUAACUUUAUCCUAAUUGUAUCAAGUUCAGGGUGGGCCCACCCGGCCACCCCUAAAAAGUACUACUAGUAAUAUAUUCAUCGAGCUAUAUUGAACCUUAAACAACACAUGACAAUAUAGCAACACUGUGUGAAUUCAAGCAACCAAAGUACAAAAAGCUCAGCGAGAAGCGAGGUUUUGCUUCCCAAAUAAUCCAACUACUUUUGUUAUAUGCAAGUGUUGUUACAGGUUGGAUGGUAUAUUUAUUAAUGAAAUGCAAGAUUGUACCCAGGAAGGGCACUUUAUGGGUGGCGAUCAUCGAACAUGGAUCCGUAAUCCUGUCUUUGGGGACAAAAGUAGUAUGAUGCUACAGCAGCAUGCCUUUUUUGGCACAAGCUUCGUAUCAAGAGGGGACUGGCUGAUUUCCCAGCGAACACAUGCGUGUCCAUCAGGAUCAGGUCAAACGCGAUGUGUGAUGUACCAACUCCGGGUACACGGUACGUGAUGAUUCGUGUUAGGUGCUUGCGUGGCCUACAUUCAUGUCACGAGCAGGUUCCUGGAAGGACUUGGGACUGUUGGGGAAAGCUUUCACACUGGUAGCGGUAGAGAACCUUUGUUCUUCUGCUCAGCACGUACCAGUAGUGGCCGUUCCUUAAAGGAAACAUCUGCAUUGGUUGCUACUGUCAGUUAUUUCAAUGGGACUACAAUAUAAUAAAUCUAAAAGGUUGUGUGAAAAAUAAGGAGGAAAUCAGAAAAAGUUGCUAUUCAUGCGAUGGCGUUGCCCUAACAUAAUUAACAUAGUAGGAAGUAGCAAGUAGCAACAGAGAAAAUUCAUGGAGAAUGUGAACUAGUGCUUUUGCAACAACGAUUUGCCUCUUGAUUUUGCACGAUGCAUAUAUUAAGCA